rnacentral:rRNA from 1 species
GGGGAAUCUUGCACAAUGGGGGCAACCCUGAUGCAGCGACGCCGCGUGAGCGAUGAAGCCCUUCGGGGCGUAAAGCUCUUUCGACCGGAACGAUAAUGACGGUACCGGGAGAAGAAGCUGCGGCUAACUACGUGCCAGCAGCCGCGGUAAUACGUAGGCAGCAAGCGUUGUUCGGAGUUACUGGGCGUAAAGAGUGCGUAGGCGGUUUUCUAAGUUCGGUGUGAAAUCUCCCGGCUUAACUGGGAGGGUGCGCCGAAGACUGGGAAGAUGGAGUGUGGGAAAGGCAGGCGGAAUUCCUGGUGUAGCGGUGAAAUGCGUAGAUAUCAGGAGGAACACCGGCGGUGUAGACGGCUUGCUAGACCAUAACUGACGCUGAGGCACGGAAGCGUGGGUAGCAAACA